UGAGCCCCCAGCUCAAAGACGACACACGGAGAAGGGAGCCAAGCAGCACUGACCGAUGUGGGCAGCGUUAUUGCCGACCAGGAAUUUGUCCCUGGACUUCCCCUCCGCACUGCUCCAUGCUCACCUUCCUCUUCUCGGGGGUCUCCACCAGCUGCCAGCUGUUGGCCUUGAGGUGGUAGAGUUCAUCGAACUUCAUGCUGAUGUCCUCGAUGGACAGCUGUAGCAGGUCCCAGAACCCUGCCAGGUCCUGGGCUGUGGGGCGUGGGUUGGCAUCAGGGUUCUGUGGGCCAGAUGGGGAUCAGUGGGGCCGGCUCAGCAGAGGCUUGUCCUGCUUCCCCCAACCCCCCAACAAGCAGGGUUCCUCUGGGCCCUGCCAGCACCCGCGGGGGCUCUUGAGGCCUAGUGUCUGGGGAAGAAACAAGUUCUUGGCCAUGGUGUGACAGUGACACCGAGAGAAGCCCGAUUCACUCCCAGGUUUCUGCUCACAGGUCACCUGGCCAGGGAUGCCCUCCCUGACCACCCUGAAUGCAACAGCAACACCGCCCCUGCCUGUGCAGCGGACACUAUACUGCUCUUACCCUUCCUGGUUAU
rnacentral:antisense_RNA from 1 species